GUGGGGAAUCUUCCGCAAUGGACGAAAGUCUGACGGAGCAACGCCGCGUGAGUGAAGAAGGUUUUCGGAUCGUAAAGCUCUUUCGUCAGGGACGAACGUAUUUCUUGUAAAUAAUGAGAGAUAGUGACGGUACCUGAAUAAGAAGUCACGGCUAACUACGUGCCAGCAGCCGCGGUAAUACGUAGGUGGCAAGCGUUGUCCGGAAUUAUUGGGCGUAAAGCGCGCGCAGGCGGGAUAUCAAGUCUGUCUUAAAAGUGCGAGGCUCAACCUCGUGAGGGGACAGAAACUGGUAUUCUUGAGUGUCGGAGAGGAAAGUGGAAUUCCAAGUGUAGCGGUGAAAUGCGUAGAGAUUUGGAAGAACACCAGUGGCGAAGGCGACUUUCUGGACGAUGUCUGACGCUGAGGCGCGAAAGCUAGGGGAGCGAACGGGAUUAGAAACCCUAGUAGUCC
rnacentral:rRNA from 1 species